AGUGAACGCUGGCGGUAGGCCUAACACAUGCAAGUCGAACGGCAGCACAGUAAGAGCUUGCUCUUACGGGUGGCGAGUGGCGGACGGGUGUGGAAUACAUCGGAAUCUACUUUUUCGUGGGGGAUAACGUAGGGAAACUUACGCUAAUACCGCAUACGACCUUCGGGUGAAAGCAGGGGAUUUUCGGACCUUUUGCGAUUGAAUGAGACGAUGUCGGAUUAGCUAGUUGGCGGGGUAAAGGCCCACCAAGGCGACGAUCCGUAGCUGGUCUGAGAGGAUGAUCAGCCACACUGGAACUGAGACACGGUCCAGACUCCUACGGGAGGCAGCAGUGGGGAAUAUUGGACAAUGGGCGCAAGCCUGAUCCAGCCAUACCGCGUGAGUGAAGAAGGCCUUCGGGUUGUAAAGCCCUUUUGUUGGGAAAGAAAAGCAGCAGGUUAAUACCCCGCUGUUCUGACGGUACCCAAAGAAUAAGCACCGGCUAACUUCGUG
rnacentral:rRNA from 1 species